rnacentral:lncRNA from 1 species
AUGUGGGCCACAACUUGACGAGAUCCCAACAUUCUCCCACUUGGACCAUAUUGACAAGUGAAAUAUCCUUAGCACUUGAAUGUUAUAAUCUUUAUACGCGUGUUCUUUCUAUCCUGAUAUCAAUUUGGGCAAACUUUAUGUUUGAUUACUUUGAGAAUAAUAAUACGAACCAUGGCGGAAAUAACACCUAUUUGAUCGGCGUAUAACCUUCC